UAACGCGUAGGUAACCUGCCUUGUAGCGGGGGAUAACUAUUGGAAACGAUAGCUAAUACCGCAUAACAAUGGGUGACUCAUGUCAUUUAUUUGAAAGGGGCAAAUGCUCCACUACAGGAUGGACCUGCGUUGUAUUAGCUAGUAGGUGAGGUAACGGCUCACCUAGGCGACGAUACAUAGCCGACCUGAGAGGGUGAUCGGCCACACUGGGACUGAGACACGGCCCAG
rnacentral:rRNA from 1 species